AUGUGGUUAAGAAUUGUUGAAAUUAAUGUUAAGAGUCAUGUUUUCAAAACGAGUUUGAAUAAAAAACGAAAGAAGGAAAAUCAAAGAAUUUUGGGACCAAAAUCAAGAGCCAGGCCAUCAUCAUCGCGAGACUCCGACACUUCAGCCACACAACCUAUGCGCUGCAGAUCCGCUCUGCACCACGGUGCUGCUCAAAUCGCACUCACCGACGAAUCCGUCGUACACCACUUCUCCGCCGUAGACGAAACCCGCCAGUAA